GGGGGAGGAGUGCGAGGGUCUCUGAGACAGGUUGGGAGCCAGCCCCACCUCCAUUUCCAAAGCGGGGGUCCAGGCACAGGAACAGCCAAACGCCCGAACCAGCGGGGUUACCUUUGCCACUUCAUCCAAUCCGAGCAUCGGCUGACAAGUUUAUUUAAUCCCUGAACCUGGAUCCAAGGCAUCUCCCUGUAGAAAACAUCAGACCGGGGCAGAGAUUGACAAAGCAACCCAAAGCAGCAGCUGCCAACGGCCGCUGUGCCCACCUCAUCAGCAGCUAAAGAGUAUAAUUUUAAAAAAAGUCACAGAAGAAUGUGGAGACACUUAGCAAAACGGACUCUCAUAAGAAAUUGACACCACAUUGAUCACAUCUGAGCUCUGGAAAAAUAACAAAGAACCAGUCCUUUAUCUCCAGGGGUGCUGCUGUUAAACAGUAACUAUUCCCUAUCUGA
rnacentral:lncRNA from 1 species